rnacentral:lncRNA from 1 species
AAUCCCCGCAGGCGCUGGGUCUGCAGAUGGCGUCCAGGUACACAGUGGCGAGUGUGAUUCCGCAGUCUUGGGCUGUUUGGCCAAGCGCCCGCCGGACAUGGUACGCCGAAGGGUCAUCGGCGUGGAGUCCUCGCUUUCAGCGUCCGCGGCUGGGAAAUCGGCCAUCGCUACGGCGGGAACUGGGACUCGGGCUGCGUCCCGGCCCUUCCACAUCGGUCCACCGCACUCGUGGGCGCCCGCAUUGGUGCUGACAUAAUUUCCUGACCUCUGACCCGUAUUGUCUCGCGAUUAAAGAGCUGCGCCUGGAUCCCUCAGCAGUGAGGAGACCUGAAGACCAGAGGAAACACAGCAAACGGAGCCUUGCUCUGUUGCCCAGGCUGGUGUGUAGUGAUCUCAGCUCACUGCAAGCUCCACCUUCCGGGUUCACACCAUUCUCCCACCUCAACCCCCGGAGUAGCUGGAACUACAGCCUCCUGCCACCACGCCUGGCUAAUUUUUUUUUUGUAUUUUUAGUAGAGACGGGGUUUCACCAUGUUAGCUAGGAUGGUCUCGAUCUGCUGACCUCGUGAUCCACCCGCCUCGGCCUCUCAAAGUGCUGGGAUUAAAGGCGUAAGCCACUGCGCCUGGCUGUUUUUUCAUUUCUAUUAUGAUUUGUCCUGUGGAAUGUCAGUGACUUAGCGGUAUUUUUAUCACACGUUUAUAAAGCUGAAUAGUUUUGUAUGUCAGCUCAGCACCCUUAGUGUCAGCCAUGCUAGUCUCCUGCUGUGCAUAGAUCGAGGCCUGUCCAUACCCGAAUCUCCUGGGUUCCCACUGUCAGCACCUGAAGGUACCCACCAGAUGUGUCUGUCACUUCCCUACAUCCACCUCUAUUGUGGUUCUCAUGUUUCUGCCUCCCUAGAGACCAUUUCUCUGUAGAGCAGCGCUUUCGAAUAGAAAUACAAUGCCAGACACAUAAGUUGUUUUAGAUUUUCUAGUAGUCACUUUAGAAAAGUUAAAAAGAAACAGGUGAAAUUAAUGUUUUAUUUCACCUAAAAUGUUAGCAUUAUCCAAAAUAUCACUUCAACAUCUUAUCAAAAUAAAAUUAUUAAUGAGAUUGGUUACCGUUCCGAUAAAUAGGUGAACUGAGAGCAUACACAGUAGUAUUCUGUUCUAAUUUCUGCUUCACUGUGAGUGUCUUGACAUAGUCUUAAAAGAGUAUUGCUGUGAAAUAUUAUACAUGUAACUCAUAACCUCUACAAUUCUGCAGUUGUAAUUGGUUGUCUUACCUAAUAAUCAGUUGCUUUGCUUCAUAAUAUUUAAAUUGGCAUCUCUAUUUUCCAAAAGGCAUAAAUACUAGUAUAGUUUUUUAGUUAAGCCAGGAGAAAGUUCACUUUAUUUACAUAACUUAUACGUAAAAAUUUAAUAAAUCUCCCUGCUUCUUUUCUUUUGCAUCAUAACAACCACUGAAAAUAAUAUUUCUAUGGCAGUUGGGGGUAAAUGGACAAUAGCUUUUGUGACCAGAGGUGAAUGGCCCAGGGUCUCCAGCACUCCAGGUCCCACUGAGCCUGCCCCACAGCUGAGGGCAUCGGUAUUUCCACACACCUAUAAUGUACAGUGCCCCAGAACAGAGAUCGGAUGCUCUGCUUUAUUCAGAUGGGGUGUUGAGAGUAUUGUCAUUGUAAUUGAAUUAGUAAGUAAGUAUUUAUACACUGUUAAAAUCUGGUUGGAUUUGUGUCCCUUCACAAAACAAAUUGCUUAAAUGAAACCACAGAGUUAACAUAAUUGACUACAUCUGCUUCUAUGAGCUGC